UACAGAGGGUGCGAGCGUUGUCCGGAAUCACUGGGCGUAAAGGGCGCGUAGGCGGCGCGGUAAGUCACUUGUGAAAUCUCUGAGCUUAACUCAGAACGGCCAAGUGAUACUGCAGUGCUAGAGUGUGGUAGGGGAGACUGGAAUUCCUGGUGUAGCGGUGAAAUGCGCAGAUAUCAGGAGGAACACCAAUUGCGAAGGCAGCUGGCUACACAAAUAUUGACGCUGAGGCACGAAAGCGUGGGGAUCAAACAGG
rnacentral:rRNA from 1 species